rnacentral:rRNA from 1 species
AUUGAACGCUGGCGGCAUGCCUUACACAUGCAAGUCGAACGGCAGCACGGGUGCUUGCACCUGGUGGCGAGUGGCGAACGGGUGAGUAAAACAUCGGAACAUGUCCUGUAGUGGGGGAUAGCCCGGCGAAAGCCGGAUUAAUACCGCAUACGAUCUACGGAUGAAAGCGGGGGACCUUCGGGCCUCGCGCUAUAGGGUUGGCCGAUGGCUGAUUAGCUAGUUGGUGGGGUAAAGGCCUACCAAGGCGACGAUCAGUAGCUGGUCUGAGAGGACGACCAGCCACACUGGGACUGAGACACGGCCCAGACUCCUACGGGAGGCAGCAGUGGGGAAUUUUGGACAAUGGGCGAAAGCCUGAUCCAGCAAUGCCGCGUGUGUGAAGAAGGCCUUCGGGUUGUAAAGCACUUUUGUCCGGAAAGAAAUCCUUGGCCCUAAUACGGUCGGGGGAUGACGGUACCGGAAGAAUAAGCACCGGCUAACUACGUG